rnacentral:ncRNA from 2 species
ACGAUAUCUGGUAGUCAUGGUCUCUCGAAUCGUCCUGAAGCGAGAGCUAAGAGGGAAUCCGGUGCGCCUAGCGGCCAAGCCGGAGCUGCCCCCGCAACUGUGAGCGGCGAGCCACCGUCCAUCUCGUGUCACUGGAGCCCGUGAGGCUCCGGGAAGGCCGGACGGAGGCGACGACCCGCGAGCCAGGAGACCUGCCGUGACUGGAACGAAACG